CUAUUCUUGUGCUGCACUGCAAGAGGAUGGCCCUGCAGAAACCAUUAAGGAUGUCCAAACAAAAUUUUUAUUAACAGCAAAAAAGAAUCAGUUGUGGAGCGCAAAACACUUCUGGCAUCAGGAAAAAAUACUUCUGGUCCCACCACCGUGCAUCAUAUGUCAAUGCAUUGGUUUGUACCAGCUGACUUCGAUCUGCAGGUAUAGGCUGCAAGCUUUCCUUUAUAGGAGACUUGGCUUACGUGAAAGCCUACCGCUUGUUGACAGUGCAUCGAACUGGAAAAGCCCCAUUUUGCAUUUGUAUGGACAUCUAUGUAAACGAUAUUGAAGUGACAAAAAUCGGCAAGGUUUGAAUAAGAGAAAAAGCGCCGAAUUACGAGAUUGCAAACAGAACAUUUUCUACAUCACAGU
rnacentral:lncRNA from 1 species